CGUCAACGGCGCCGCCAUGUUGGACAGGAAAAAGAUCCUGAUAAUUUAAUACAUAUUUUGAGCGCCAUUGAGAUUUUGUGCGUAAAUAAUAAUAAUACAGACACACUGUACAGCUCUUGUGGAUAAGAAUCACAAGCAGUGAAAAAUAAAAAACAAAAGAAAUUUGGCUUUUCACAGGUGAAGCCAGGUGCGACGGAGAGAGGGUGAGAGUGGAUCUGUAUAACAGGAUGGAGGUAUAUUACUAAUCUAUAAUAUUAUCAGGACAACAUCACAGAGGUGUAAUACCACACUGACGGGAGGAAUAAAGGCCAUAAAAAUGAGAAAUAAUCGUUAUUUAUCAGCCAAUUUUACCCACCGCCGGCCCCUUUUAACGACCCCCCCUCAGGUGUUUGGGUCAGUAAAUCCGACGCUGAAGGUUGAGUUCAUCUCGCGGCGUGGAAAAGAAAGAAACUACAGAAGAUGAAGAUGAAGCUCACAUCGACUUCGCAACUUCUCAAUAAAAAAGACAGGAGUGGAGAAGGAUGGAUAAAGAGCUGCACGAGGAAGACAGCUGACUCUGGAAGGACGUUCUGGAUAACCUGACCACAGUCAGCGGAGAGCUGACCCUGUCCUUGAGACAAAGUGAAACCCAGGAAAAACCCCUGGCAUGAUAUGUGAAGAGUUGCAGCAGUUCUUGAUGGAACAGGGGCUCAUUUUCACCAAAGAGCAGCAGACAACCUGAGGCAGGAGUGAAAUCUGAAAGUGCUUCAUGAACCACAUGAGAGUCUACAAAACCCUG